AAAGACGACAAAGACGGUUGUUUUACAGUCGGUUAGGGUUCAGCCGAACCAAAUCCGGCAAUGCUGACUGCAAUGUUGAGGUCCUUCGCCACCCUCCUCCUCUCCGCCCUCCGCCGCUCGGAGAGUAACAAGUUCCGGCCGCUCGCCAUCCUCGUCCUCGGCGGCCGAAAGAGCCACGGAAGACAGGGAGCCAUGGCGGAAGGAGGUCCUUCUACACGGGGAGGAUCGACGAGAUCCAUGAGGGCCGAGGGAAGGACGGGGUUGGCGCGAAGAUGGAUUCGAUGGACCUAGAGAGGGGGAAGAGCAUCACGAUCCAGUCCGCAGCUACCUACUGCACCUGGAACGGAUAUCAGAUUAAUAUCAUUAAUACUCCUGCCACGCGGAUUUCACCAUUGACCGAGUCAAUACAACCUAUGAAUCAAGGCACAAGUACCGGAGGAGCAACAAGGCAAGCUAAGCUACGACAUCAUAGUGCGGCAAAAUCUAAGCUAUGACAUCAUAGUGCGGUGAUGCAAGUUCCAAUUGGAUUAGAAGAGGAAUUUGAGGAGCUUGUAGAUCUUGUAGAAUUGAAAGCAUAUAACUUCCAUGGAGCCAUCGGUGAGAGAAUUGUAACAGCUGAUAUUCCACAACUUGGAGGUACCGGUUACAGAAAAGCGGUGUGAGCUUAUUGAGGUUGUCUCUGAAUUAGAUGAUAAACUCACUGAAGCUUUGCUUAAUGAUGAACCGAUAUCUCCCGAUGACCUCAAGAUGGCAAUUCUUAGGGCAACUGUAGCAUGCAAAUUCUUUCCAGUCUACAUGGGAAGUGCUUUCAAGAACAAGAUAUAUUGAACCUCUACCAUUGGGUUCUCUUACGAAGUUUGAAGUUGAGAAUCUUAUCAUUGGGCAAGCAAUACCUUCAAACUUCAUUCCAGCAAUUGAGAAAGGGUUCAGAGAAGCUAGCAACUCGUGGUAUUGACAGAUGGGGCAUCACAAGCUGUUGAUUCCAGUGAGCUGGCAUUUAAGCUAGCAGCUAUAUAUGCAUUUAGACAGCCGAGCCUGUCAUAUUGGAACCCUUGAUGGAAGUGGCAUUGAAAGUGCCAUCAGAAUUCCAGGGCGCUAUUACUGGUGAUAUUAACAAGUGAGUGUUGUGCAUUAUGAUUGAACUGUUACUAUUUUAUCUCAUCUCUAUAUCCUGUAUGAAUAACAGGAGGAAAGGUAUGAUUGUUGGAAACGACCAGGAUGGUGAUGGUACUGUGGUUGUUGCUCAUGUAUGUAGAUUCCAAUCUUCUCUUUUGAAUGAUCUGCUAACAUGUAGAAAUUGCAUAUUGAUGCGACCUGGCCAGUAACUGUGGUUGUCGCUCACGUAUUUAGUUUCCAAUCUUCUCCUCUGAAUGAUCUGCCAACUUGUAGAAAUUGCAUAUUGAUGCGACCUGGUCAGCAACUGUGGUUGUCGCUCAUGUAUGUACAUUCCAAUCUUCUCCUCUGAAUGAUCUGCUAACAUGUAGAAAUUGCAUAUUGAUGCGA